GACGGGGGAUGCAAGCGUUAUCCGGAAUGAUUGGGCGUAAAGCGUCUGCAGGUGGCAGUUCAAGUCUGCUGUCAAAGCCCGGGGCUUAACUUCGGAAAGGCAGUGGAAACUGAACAGCUAGAGUAUGGUAGGGGCAGAGGGAAUUCCUGGUGUAGCGGUGAAAUGCGUAGAGAUCAGGAAGAACAUCGGUGGCGAAGGCGCUCUGCUGGACCAUAACUGACACUCAGGGACGAAAGCUAGGGGAGCGAAUGGG
rnacentral:rRNA from 1 species